rnacentral:rRNA from 1 species
UGGUGGAGUGAUUUGUCUGGUUAAUUCCGUUAACGAACGAGACCUCGACCUGCUAAAUAGUACGCGGAACUCUACGGGGUUCUCGUGAGACUUCUUAGAGGGACUAUCGGUGUUUUAGCCGAUGGAAGUUCGAGGCAAUAACA